rnacentral:rRNA from 1 species
AUUGAACGCUGGCGGCAUGCUUUACACAUGCAAGUCGAACGGUAACAGGCCGCAAGGUGCUGACGAGUGGCGAACGGGUGAGUAAUGCAUCGGAACGUGCCCAGUCGUGGGGGAUAACGCAGCGAAAGUUGCGCUAAUACCGCAUACGAUCUAUGGAUGAAAGCGGGGGACCGUAAGGCCUCGCGCGAUUGGAGCGGCCGAUGUCAGAUUAGGUAGUUGGUGGGGUAAAGGCUCACCAAGCCGACGAUCUGUAGCUGGUCUGAGAGGACGACCAGCCACACUGGGACUGAGACACGGCCCAGACUCCUACGGGAGGCAGCAGUGGGGGAUUUUGGACAAUGGGCGCAAGCCUGAUCCAGCAAUGCCGCGUGCAGGAAGAAGGCCUUCGGGUUGUAAACUGCUUUUGUACGGAACGAAACGGUCCUGGUUAAUACCCGGGGCUAAUGACGGUACCGUAAGGAUAAGCACCGGCUAACUACGUGCCAGCCGCCGCAGUAAAAC